rnacentral:rRNA from 1 species
GAUGAACGCUAGCGGCGUGCCUAAUACAUGCAAGUCGAGCGAACAGACGAGGAGCUUGCUCCUCUGACGUUAGCGGCGGACGGGUGAGUAACACGUGGAUAACCUACCUAUAAGACUGGGAUAACUUCGGGAAACCGGAGCUAAUACCGGAUAAUAUAUUGAACCGCAUGGUUCAAUAGUGAAAGACGGUUUUGCUGUCACUUAUAGAUGGAUCCGCGCCGCAUUAGCUAGUUGGUAAGGUAACGGCUUACCAAGGCAACGAUGCGUAGCCGACCUGAGAGGGUGAUCAGCCACACUGGAACUGAGACACGGUCCAGACUCCUACGGGAGGCAGCAGUAGGGAAUCUUCCGCAAUGGGCGAAAGCCUGACGGAGCAACGCCGCGUGAGUGAUGAAGGUCUUCGGAUCGUAAAACUCUGUUAUUAGGGAAGAACAAAUGUGUAAGUAACUAUGCACGUCUUGACGGUACCUAAUCAGAAAGCCACGGCUAACUACGUG